AUAAUGUAUAAGGGUUAAGGCACAAAGCAAAUGACCAGCUCUCCCGCUUGUGGCCGUCGCCCCAACGGUGGUCAGCAAGGUCACCGGCGCCUCAGCGAGGGCCGGUGACCCUCACCAAAAGCGGGAGACAGCGGCGAUGCUCUCUCAGAUCGGGCCUCCCCCAUAUCUGGGCGACGGUUGCCGCCCUUCGUCCCAGUUCGGGGGAGGGUCGCCGGCCGCCGCCGCCGCCGCCCGCCAGCAGCCCACCCGCUGGUAUUCUUUUUAGUUUCUAAUUUAAUUUAACUAAAAUUUUAUGUUAAAAUUGUUUCCCUCAGUCGGCGGUAGUUUGAACUGGCGGGGAUUUUUGGGCACGUCCCCCAAGCCGAGGCCAUUUCUCGUAGGGUUUCGCCAAGUCUGAAGUCUCUGUCCGAUCACCGGCCAUAGUCGGUCAUUAUCGAGUUCCUGUGUGCUUGAUUCCCUCCUCCUCUUUGGACGUGUCUCGUUUUGGCCGAUACGCCGGAUUUCGCCGCCAAGAUCGCUGCCUUCACCAGACAGAGACAAUGCGGUCGCGGCAGUCAGCUGAGGUGGAGACAAUGCCGCCAUCUCCAAAGCUUUUCUGGUGGCUAUCUUCUUCUGAUAAGAAAAGCGGGACCAGAAUGGACAGGAUCCAA